AUCCAGCAAUGCCGCGUGUGUGAAGAAGGCCUUCGGGUUGUAAAGCACUUUUGUCCGGAAAGAAAUGGCUCUGGUUAAUACCUGGGGUCGAUGACGGUACCGGAAGAAUAAGGACCGGCUAACUACGUGCCAGCAGCCGCGGUAAUACGUAGGGUCCAAGCGUUAAUCGGAAUUACUGGGCGUAAAGCGUGCGCAGGCGGUUGUGCAAGACCGAUGUGAAAUCCCCGAGCUUAACUUGGGAAUUGCAUUGGUGACUGCACGGCUAGAGUGUGUCAGAGGGGGGUAGAAUUCCACGUGUAGCAGUGAAAUGCGUAGAGAUGUGGAGGAAUACCGAUGGCGAAGGCAGCCCCCUGGGAUAACACUGACGCUCAUGCACGAAAGCGUGGGGAGCAAACAGGAUAAGAUACCCUGG
rnacentral:rRNA from 1 species